AAGAGGGCACUAUGGUUACACUAAAUAACAAGAAAUUUCCAUAUACCCACAUCGUUAACCCCACACCGGAAGGUUAUAUAGGAAAGACUAAAAGAAAAGGAAGGAACUCGGCAAACAUAAGCCUCGCCUGUUUACCAAAAACAUCGCCUCCUGCAAAAAUCAACGUAUAGGAGGUCUUACCUGCCCAGUGACAUGUUAAAC
rnacentral:rRNA from 1 species